GGGAGGCAGCAGUAGGGAAUCUUCCGCAAUGGACGAAAGUCUGACGGAGCAACGCCGCGUGAGUGAUGAAGGCUUUCGGGUCGUAAAACUCUGUUGUUAGGGAAGAACAAGUAUGAGAGUAACUGCUCGUACCUUGACGGUACCUAACCAGAAAGCCACGGCUAACUACGUGCCAGCAGCCGCGGUAAUACGUAGGUGGCGAGCGUUAUCCGGAAUUAUUGGGCGUAAAGCGCGCGCAGGCGGUUUCUUAAGUCUGAUGUGAAAGCCCACGGCUCAACCGUGGAGGGUCAUUGGAAACUGGGGAACUUGAGUGCAGAAGAGAAAAGCGGAAUUCCACGUGUAGCGGUGAAAUGCGUAGAGAUGUGGAGGAACACCAGUGGCGAAGGCGGCUUUUUGGUCUGUAACUGACGCUGAGGCGCGAAAGCGUGGGGAGCAAACAGGAUUAGAUACCCUGGUAGUCCACGCCGUAAACGAUGAGUGCUAAGUGUUAGAGGGUUUCCGCCCUUUAGUGCUGC
rnacentral:rRNA from 2 species